rnacentral:rRNA from 1 species
UACGGGGGGGGGCAAGCGUUGUUCGGAAUUACUGGGCGUAAAGGGCUCGUAGGCGGCCAACUAAGUCAGACGUGAAGUCCCUCGGCUUAACCGGGGAACUGCAUCUGAUACUGGAUGGCUUGAGGUUGGGAGAGGGAUGCGGAAUUCCAGGUGUAGCGGUGAAAUGCGUAGAUAUCUGGAGGAACACCGGUGGCGAAGGCGGCAUCCUGGACCAAUUCUGACGCUGAGUGAGCGAAAGCCAGGGGAGCAAACGGG